rnacentral:rRNA from 1 species
GACGACCGCUGGCGGCGUGCUUAACCCAUGCAAGUCGAACGGAAAGGCCCCUUUGGGUGUACUCGAGUGGCGGACGGGUGAGUAACACGUCAGUAACCUGCCCUUGACUUCGGGCUAACUUCAGGAAACUGGGGCUAAUACCGGAUAGGAAUCCUUGCUGCAUGGUGGGGUUGGCAAGCUUCGGCGGUUUUGGAUGGACUCGCGGCUUAUCAGCUUGUUGGUGGGGUAGUGGCUUACCAAGGCUUUGACGGGUAGCCGGCCUGAGAGGGCGACCGGCCACAUUGGGACUGAGAUACGGCCCAGACGCCUACGGGAGGCAGCAGUGGGGAAUAUUGCACAAUGGGCGGAAGCCUGAUGCAGCAACGCGGCGUGCGGGAUGACGGCCUUCGGGUUGUAAACCGCGUUCAGCAGGGGCGAAGCUUGUGGUGACGGUACCUGCAGAAGAAGCACCGGCUAACUACGUG